GACGUAGGUGGCGAACGUUAUCCGGAAUCAUUGGGCGUAAAGGGUGCGUAGAUGGCCUGAUAAGUUAGCAGUGGGAAAUCGAGGCUCAACCUCGUGGAAGCUGGUAAUACUGUUAGGCUCGAGUGCAGGAGAAGUUAACGGAACUCCAUGUGGAGCGGUAAAAUGUGUAGAUAUCGGAAGGAACGCCGGUGGCGAAAGCGACGUGCUGGACCUCUUCUGACGCUGAGGCGCGAAAGCCAGGGGAGCAAACGGG
rnacentral:rRNA from 1 species